GCUUACGGCCAUACCACCCUGGAAAUGCCCCGAUCUCAUCUGAACUCGGGAGGUAAAGCAGGGUCCGGGCCUGGUUAGUACUUGGAUGGGAGACCGCCUGGGAAUACCAGGUGCUGUAAGCU
rnacentral:rRNA from 1 species